rnacentral:rRNA from 1 species
AACGAACGCUGGCGGCAUGCCUAACACAUGCAAGUCGAACGAACCCUUCGGGGUUAGUGGCGCACGGGUGCGUAACGCGUGGGAACCUGCCUUUAGGUUCGGAAUAACAGUUAGAAAUGACUGCUAAUACCGGAUAAUGUCUUCGGACCAAAGAUUUAUUGCCUUUAGAUGGGCCCGCGUUGGAUUAGAUAGUUGGUGGGGUAAUGGCCUACCAAGUCGACGAUCCAUAGCUGGUCUGAGAGGAUGAUCAGCCACACUGGGACUGAGACACGGCCCAGACUCCUACGGGAGGCAGCAGUGGGGAAUAUUGGACAAUGGGCGAAAGCCUGAUCCAGCAAUGCCGCGUGAGUGAUGAAGGCCUUAGGGUUGUAAAGCUCUUUUACCAGGGAUGAUAAUGACAGUACCUGGAGAAUAAGCUCCGGCUAACUCCGUGC